AAAGUAGUUACUUUUGCAAUUC
rnacentral:snRNA from 1 species